AUUGAACGCUGGCGGCAGGCCUAACACAUGCAAGUCGAGCGGCAGCGGAGGGAAGCUUGCUUCCUUGCCGGCGAGCGGCGGACGGGUGAGUAAGGUAUGGGGAUCUGGCCGAAGGCGGGGGAUAACCACUGGAAACGGUGGCUAAUACCGCAUAAUCUCUACGGAGCAAAGUGGGGGACCGUUCAGGCAUUACACCUUCGGAUGAACCCAUAUGAGAUUAGCUAGUAGGUGGGGUAAUGGCUCACCUAGGCGACGAUCUCUAGCUGGUCUGAGAGGAUGAUCAGCCACACUGGGACUGAGACACGGCCCAGACUCCUACGGGAGGCAGCAGUGGGGAAUAUUGCACAAUGGGCGCAAGCCUGAUGCAGCCAUGCCGCGUGUAUGAAGAAGGCCUUCGGGUUGUAAAGUACUUUCAGUCGUGAGGAAGGUGUUAAGGUUAAUAACCUUAGCAAUUGACGUUAGCGACAGAAGAAGCACCGGCUAACUCCGUGCCAGCCGCCGCAGUAA
rnacentral:rRNA from 1 species